GAAAAAGAAAAAAAAGAAGAAGAAAGAUAAAAAGCGCUCCCGUAAGGAAGAUGAUCAGGAGGAAUGAGCUACUUGUUAAAUUGCUUUUAGAUUCAUGUUGUGUUCUGAAAAUACUCCAUGUUUUCCUUUUAAUUUCUGUU
rnacentral:ribozyme from 15 species